UCCACUGUGAGCAAGACCAGCAAGGCCAGCUCACCAGGCCUGGGCGGAGCUUAUCGGGGGCUGGCCCUGGUCAUUUCCUGCUGCCUCCCCAGGAGACUGGAGCCUUCUUCUCCUGGGCCUCCACUUCCAGGCUUCAUAAAGCCACUUAACCUGUGUCAUUUACACAGUGAGGUAGAGUGCUCCCAAUAGUUUACUGUAGUGACAGAGAUGCUGGCAAAAUAAUGCAAAAUAAAAAUUAGAGAAGGCAGAGGCAUCCCACAAGUUCUAUAGUCUCAUGUCCAACUCAAGAACAAGAGAUUCGUUUCUUCCACAUCCAUUUCCAGACCUGAGUCAAAAUGACUCUCAUGGUGGGGCCCUGACUCCAGCCACUCCAGAACAUUCUCUCUUAGAGCCCUGAGCAGCUUCUCCCAGGCCUGGUGCAGACCACACAGAACUCCUGAAUCGGGGGCUGGGGGCGGCACUGAAAAACCAGCCUCUAUCUCAGAGCAAAGCCUGUCCAAGGAAGGGACAUGGCCUUUGUCCUUGGAAAAACCCACAGAGCACUCCUAGGCACAUUCCUGCUAAGUUGUUUAUCUACAAAUAACAGGAGAGAUCUGCUGUGCCAGGUGUCCCUGACUCAGUCAGGCUAGGAGAGACCCAUAGCAGCCCCCUAGCAGCCACCAAUCAGUGUGAGACAGGGAAAUAUCUGGGAUGCCAGAUGACCCUCCCAGUAGUUUAUGGUGGUUGAUAACAUUUUGGGAAACCAUGUAGUUCAGCACGUACACCCCUCGUGGCCUAAACCAAUCAGUUCAAAUGAAUCCCCCUCUUGUACUGACCAAUCACCCCUACCCAACUUGUUCCCGCCAGUGAAUGUGCUAAUCAUGUUUUAGAGUUGUUAUUUGAUUUUCCUGCGGUGUGUGAUGAUUUGCUAUGAUGUAUGUGAAGUCCCUGCCUUCUCCAAAGAAUGUAUAAAACUGCUGCAAACCCUGGGCUCGGGGUCUCUCAGCAUCACCAGUUGCUGUGUGUGCG
rnacentral:lncRNA from 1 species